rnacentral:rRNA from 1 species
AGCGAACGCUGGCGGCAGGCCUAACACAUGCAAGUCGAGCGCCGUAGCAAUACGGAGCGGCAGACGGGAGAGUAACACGUGGGAACGCGCCCUUUGGUUCGGAACAACCCAGGGAAACUUGGGCUAAUACCGGAUAAGCCCUUACGGGGAAAGAUUUAUCGCCGAAGGAUCGGCCCGCGUCUGAUUAGCUAGUUGGUGGGGUAACGGCCCACCAAGGCGACGAUCAGUAGCUGGUCUGAGAGGAUGAUCAGCCUCACUGGGACUGAGACACGGCCCAGACUCCUACGGGAGGCGGCAGUGGGGAAUAUUGGACAAUGGGCGCAAGCCUGAUCCAGCCAUGCCGCGUGGGUGAUGAAGGCCCUAGGGUUGUAAAGCCCUUUCGGCGGGGAAGAUAAUGACGGUACCCGCAGAAGAAGCCCCGGCUAACUUCGUGCCAGCAGCCGCCGUAACAC